rnacentral:rRNA from 4 species
CUGGUGUUGAAGGCCCUGCAAAGCAGCAUCGCGGUGGCGGAGCGUCGUUUGCGACGCCCAACACACAAAACAAGCGGUGAAUGCUUUGGGGUGGGGUGACUGCGUACCUUUUGUAUAAUGGGUCAGCGACUUAUAUUCUGUAGCAAGGUUAACCGAAUAGGGGAGCCGGAGGGAAACCGAGUCUUAAUUGGGCGUUAAGUUGCAGGGUAUAGACCCGAAACCCGGUGAUCUAGCCAUGGGCAGGUUGAAGGUUGGGUAACACUAACUGGAGGACCGAACCGACUAAUGUUGAAAAAUUAGCGGAUGACCUGUGGCUGGGGGUGAAAGGCCAAUCAAACCGGGAGAUAGCUGGUUCUCCCCGAAAGCUAUUUAGGUAGCGCCUCGUGAAUUCAUCUCCGGGGGUAGAGCACUGUUUCGGCUAGGGGGCCAUCCCGGCUUACCAACCCGAUGCAAACUGCGAAUACCGGAGAAUGUUAUCACGGGAGACACACGGCGGGUGCUAACGUCCGUCGUGAAGAGGGAAACAACCCAGACCGCCAGCUAAGGUCCCAAAGUCAUGGUUAAGUGGGAAACGAUGUGGGAAGGCCCAGACAGCCAGGAUGUUGGCUUAGAAGCAGCCAUCAUUUAAAGAAAGCGUAAUAGCUCACUGGUCGAGUCGGCCUGCGCGGAAGAUGUAACGGGGCUAAACCAU